rnacentral:rRNA from 1 species
CAUGCAAGUCGAACGGUGACGGAGAGCUUGCUCUCCUGAUCAGUGGCGAACGGGUGAGUAACACGUGGGCAACCUGCCCCAGACUUCGGGAUAACGCUUCGAAAGAGGUGCUAAUACCGGAUACGAACUCCUUGGGCAUCCUUGGAGUUGGAAAGUUUCUCGGUCUGGGAUGGGCCCGCGGCCUAUCAGCUUGUUGGUGAGGUAACGGCUCACCAAGGCGACGACGGGUAGCCGGCCUGAGAGGGCGACCGGCCACACUGGGACUGAGACACGGCCCAGACUCCUACGGGAGGCAGCAGUGGGGAAUCUUGCGCAAUGGGCGAAAGCCUGACGCAGCCAUGCCGCGUGAAUGAUGAAGGUCUUAGGAUUGUAAAAUUCUUUCACCGGGGACGAUAAUGACGGUACCCGGAGAAGAAGCCCCGGCUAACUUCGUGCCAGCCGCCGCGGUAACAC